UACGUAGGUGGCAAGCGUUGUCCGGAUUUAUUGGGCGUAAAGGGCGCGCAGGCGGUUCGUUAAGUUCGAGGUGAAAUCUCCCGGCUCAACUGGGAGGGGUCUUCGGAUACUGGCGGACUUGAGGAGUGCAGAGGUGAGUGGAAUUCUCGGUGUAGUGGUGAAAUGCGUAGAUAUCGAGAGGAACACCAGUGGCGAAGGCGGCUCACUGGGCACCACCUGACGCUGAGGCGCGAAAGCGUGGGGAGCGAACCGG
rnacentral:rRNA from 1 species